rnacentral:rRNA from 1 species
UACGGAAGGGGCAAGCGUUGUUCGGAUUCACUGGGCGUAAAGGGUGCGUAGGCGGUUGGGUAAGUCUGUCGUGAAAUCUCCGAGCCCAACUCGGAAACUGCGUCGGAUACUAUUCAACUCGAGGAAUGGAGGGGAGACUGGAAUUCUCGGUGUAGCAGUGAAAUGCGUAGAUAUCGAGAGGAACACCAGUGGCGAAGGCGAGUCUCUGGACAUUUCCUGACGCUGAGGCACGAAAGCCAGGGGAGCAAACGGG